UUAUGCUCAGGCUAAUCAAACAAGAAGGAAAAGAAGCCGUGAGGGAACACCAACCACUGGUAUGACUCUGUUCUUCACCAAGUGUCACAUCUUGAUGAAUAAUAGAGUUGUCCUGGGAUCACUAUUAUUCUUCUGUUAUCGUCACACGGUGUCCAAUCCGUUUAUUGAGUGGGGUCUUGAUAAAUUAAACGCUGUUAUAAAAUAUUUGCUCAGUAAGGUGAAAUUGCCAAAGCUUUAACUUUGCCAUUAGUUUGAUAAAUGUAGUUGCCUCUAAGAUGGGCUUUAUUGCAAUUGCAGACAUGAUACAGUAUAGGUAUUGGUGUCCCAUGGUUUCAAUUACUAAUAAAAUGCCUUACCAGCCAAUAUGGAGAAGGGAAAACUGAGAUACAAGGCAGUCCCGUUUCCAAAGAGAAGACGGCAGUUGUACCUGUAACUGUUGCAGGAAAUAUAGUUGGACCUAUAGUUUCUUCAGGUAUGACCACUGCCCUGGAGCUGAGAAACCCUUCCAGUGUUCAUUCUAAAUCAAAUGCCACAAGUGCCCCACAACCUUGUUCCGUAUUGCCUGCAGAAGCUUGGUUACAGAAUGAGCGGGAGCUGAAACGUGAGAGGCGGAAACAAUCAAAUCGAGAAUCUGCUAGAAGGUCCAGACUAAGGAAGCAGGUAUAAAUGUUGUGGGUUUCUUCAAAACAUAGUAGAUCUUCUAUCACUACUUUGGUUGUCAAUCUAGAAAUCAUAAAUUAAGCAGUUUCUUCUUUAUCACGCACUUUUACAUUUGUUGCACCUUGCACGUGACUCCUUGCAUGCAAAACCGCAAGAAACACUGAAGUAAAGAUUAUAUUCUAUAGGCUUGUGACUAAU